rnacentral:miRNA from 12 species
GGGAAGAAGAAGAAGAAGAAGAAAGACCUCUGUCUUCAAAGAUGAAGAGAGCUUUUGUUUGAACUGUUAAAGUCCUUAAAAUGUGCCUCUUAAGUUGAUAUGGUCUUCAAU